rnacentral:ncRNA from 1 species
ACCCCAGGGGGAGCUAGGAAUUGGCCUGGCUGAGAGGUGGCACCGCAAAUGCCACGACCCGAAGAACCUGAUCCGGAUAAUGCCGGCGUAGGAAGUA